AGUUCAUCAUGCGGACAACUUUGUUUUAUAUCCUUAAAUCUCUCCCAAGCUUCGUACAAAGACUCCCCAUGAUAUUGAAAGAAAUCUAUAAUCUCCUUGGUAAGCCU